rnacentral:lncRNA from 1 species
GUGGUGCAGUGGGAGUUCGUCCGUCGGGGGAGUUCAGUCAGCACCGUGGAAAUCCGACUGUUGGAGAAGUCCGGAGAGGUACCAUCUGCAGUCGAAAGCCGGAUGAGUCUUGGGAAGAUCAAUCCUGCAGAGAACUUCGACUGAGGGUAUUUUAUACCCAACACCAGUCCUCCUACUUCCGAGUUUGAAUUUUGAAUGAAGGAAGUAUAGAAAGAUUGUCACAGCCGAAGUUGCUCCCUUGAAUUCUGCACACGACUGCCCUCGAAAAUCUUGGCAUUUAAUACGCGCAUGUCGGAGCUUUUUUUCGAUUAGGAUGAUCUGAAAAGCCUUUUCAGAACUCCCACCAGGACGUGAUCCUAAGCAUCACGCCAUGAAAGUCUGCGAACGGUCAACACCGGAUCACGGC